GCCUUUAGAGUAAAACUAGGCCUUAGCCCAAAUUAGAGAAAUCGAGGAGAUGAAACGGACGAAGGUUUGUGUCGUUGAAUCCGAUGAAGCAGGUGAAGAUUCAAGCAAGCCAUUGUUGUUUCAUCUUUGAGGAAAGCCGAGGACUUCUUUCACGGUAGCUGAGAAUUCUGUCUCGUAUUUGUCGAUCAAUCAGCCUAGUCAGCACAUCAACAGAUCGGAACGUAUUACGGUGAAGGCGAUUGUUUCUUUCUUGCCAAGUACAUGAGAUGCAACAUUGCCAGACCGCAACGACGAGCUAGAGGGAACCACAAGCUCCACGAGUAAGGACACAAAAAGUAGAGAUGAUCACACGACUCUGGAGAGGAGUUACAGAGCAAGCAAGUUGGUGAAGUUAGGAGUCCCCAGCUCAGUAACCUGUCUCUUGUGGGACAACGAUUCAAAAGAAAUAGCCUACAGAGGAAGGAAUGCUUUGGAAUCCCUCCGACAAUCCCGACAAUAUGAACCCAAGGAACAUUUUCUCCAUGUCUAGAUAAGAUUGCAUAAACUUUACCUGUUGAGAAGGUUCCAGUGAUUGUUUCUGAAGAGGGAAGACAGAGUGGCAUUUUCUCGGAUUCCCAGAGAGGAGUUCAAGUCUGUCGCUAGAUAACUUUUCAGACAGCCAAAAGUUGACCAGUUAUCGGUCCAUAAGCG